rnacentral:lncRNA from 1 species
AAAACAAUUUUAUAAAGACAAAGAACAUGGCAGGAUCUUGCUUCUCACCCUUCUUAAGCCAUGUCUCUCCCUAAAACGUUAUGUAGUAAAGCUUCUGCUAGCCCCAAAACAUCAUCUUAGUACUCUGCUAGCCCCAAAACAUCAUCUUAGUACCAGCGACUCGUUGCAGUAUCUUGCCCUCCACCCACUUUCUGUGGUAUAUACUGAGGGUUUUGUUUUAACCUGCUUGA